AGUGAACGCUGGCGGUAGGCCUAACACAUGCCAGUCGAACGGCAGCACAGUAAGAGUUUGCUCUUACGGGUGGCGAGUGGCGGACGGGUGAGGAAUACAUCGGAAUCUACUUUUUCGUGGGGGAUAACGUAGGGAAACUUACGCUAAUACCGCAUACGACCUACGGGUGAAAGCAGUGGAUCUUCGGACCUUGCGCGAUUGUAUGAGCCGAUGUCGGAUUAGCUAGUUGGCUGGGUAAAGGCCCACCAAGGCGACGAUCCGUAGCUGGUCUGAGAGGAUGAUCAGCCACACUGGAACUGAGACACGGUCCAGACUCCUACGGGAGGCAGCAGUGGGGAAUAUUGGACAAUGGGCGCAAGCCAGAUCCAGCCAUACCGCGUGGGUGAAGAAGGCCUUCGGGUUGUAAAGCCCUUUUGUUGGGAAAGAAAAGCAGCAGGUUAAUACCCCGCUGUUCUGACGGUACCCAAAGAAUAAGCACCGGCUAACUUCGUG
rnacentral:rRNA from 1 species